rnacentral:rRNA from 1 species
UACGUAGGGGGCAAGCGUUGUCCGGAUUUAUUGGGCGUAAAGAGCGUGUAGGCGGCCACACAGGUCCGCUGUGAAAACUCGAGGCUCAACCUCGAGCUGUCGGUGGAAACCGUGUGGCUAGAGUCCGGAAGAGGAGAGUGGAAUUCCCGGUGCAGCGGUGAAAUGCGCAGAUAUCGGGAAGAACACCCGUGGCGAAGGCGGCUCUCUGGGACGGUACUGACGCUGAGACGCGAAAGCGUGGGGAGCGAACAGG